rnacentral:misc_RNA from 1 species
UGGUUCCGGCAUCGAUGAAGAACGCAGCGAAAUGCGAUAAGUAAUGUGAAUUGCAGAAUCCAGUGAACCAUCGAAUCUUUGAACGCACAUUGCGCCCCCCGGCAUUCCGGGGGGCAUGCCCGUCCGAGCGUCAUUGCACCCCGUCAAGCCCCGCGCUUGGUCUUGGGCCGCGUCCCCCUUUUUAUCCGGGGGGACGAGCUCCAAAGGCAGUGGCGGCCGGGAGGCGACCUCCAGCGCGAUGGUAGUUUCCCACGCUGGGCGUGUCGCCCCGGGCCAUCGCCAGGCAACCCGUAUCUCAACCAGGUUGACCUCGGAUCGGGCAGGGAUACCCGCUGA